AACAAUAAUAACAACAACAAACAAUAACAACAGACAUCAGUUGAAAGACCCGACCGCCGACAGCGAAAUGCGGUGUAAGUAAGAAAGUGUGUGUGCAAUUUCAAGGCGCUGCUGCAUGCAUGCUUCAUGCUUGAAUGCAGGUAUGUGACAGAAAUCAUAAAGAGAAAGCUGUAAAAUUCUGUAUGAAAAAUUCAAGAACCUGAAAGCUGAUCGAACCUUAGUAUAAGGGCACCAGAGAAUACAGAAAAAAAAUUUGAAAGUCGAAGACUGAUCACGCGUGCCAUUCAUUGGAAAGCUAGUAAAGGAUUGACGCACGAAAAGGAGCUGUAUUAUUACAGUUGUGUCUGAGUUUGGUUCUAUCACGCUGAGCUAUACCAAAAAGUCCUUUAAGACCGAGAAGGAUAUAUGUAUACAAGCCAUUCGAUAAAUGUGGUUUAAGACUUCUGAGGAAAUAUGCGAGAAAGAGAGCAAAACUGAAAACUUUGUCUCCAAAAGAUGCGAUGCUGUUUCUCGAAGCGCUCGAUUCAGAUGGUGAGGAAGAGUAAAGAGUCCAAUUUAUAAUGGUGUUCCAGAAGAGGAGAUCAAAGCAUUUAUGACAGAUGUUGUAUACAGUUCACUAAAAAAUACAAACCGGAGCCUUUUGAAGUAACCAGUCUCAGCCUCAACAGCUCAACACUCUCGUUUUAUGUGCUCGAAAAAAACAACGGCACUUAUUCACUGCAAGCAGUGCCAUUCGAAUCGCGAACAGUUAACGCACAAAACACCCACGAAGAAUAAAAGUGCGAGGACAUAAAAGAGCAUACAUUCAUAUAGAAGAAAGAACGGGUGCUAGAUUUGCACUUCCAGAUCCCCAUUACACUGAUUGCAGCACUUCAUGGACACAUCAUGACCACCGCCAGCUGUGAGACAUAUCAAGGAAACAGUUCGCACACAAACCCUGAUUAUCCACCAAAAUCUGGCAAAAGUGCAUCUCCUAUAAAGGAACUAUCUUUUGCUUUUGACUUUGACAACUUAUUUACCUCAAUAGGAAUGUUUUUAGCACUGAAACAGCAGGGUUGCUAUGGUACCGGAACGCUUAGAGAAAACAUGUUGCCAAAAUCAUGUUCAUUACCUAACAAAAUAAUUUUGAAAAAUAAAGAGCGUAGCUUUGUAAUCACUAAAAAAUUGCAAGUGCAAAUAUAUAUAUGUAACUAAAUAAGUCGAUAAUUCGAAAUUAUAUACUGCAAAGAAUUUAGAAACCCAAAAACUCAAGCAGAAGUUCAGCGUUCCCGUAAUGAUCGUCACAACAUCUUUAAUCCUGUUAUAACAGCUGACGAACGGCGUUAACAAUGUAAUCUCCGUUUAUGCUUUAAAUGUCUCGCUUUACCAUAUCCGGCGUGUUGUUGCAUGCAUGUAAUAGGCGGCUCCAUCCAACCUGGCUGAAAUUGCGCUCUCUCUCGCUCUUUUACAGUUGAAUUUCCAUUUCCUGGUCUUCUCUGGUUAUCCUUUUUGGUAUCAGCUACCUAACGCUAUCUAGUGCAAUUCAAAUCGAGAGAUUACUAAUAUUCAUUGACAUUGAAAUAACCUUUUAAAAUUUGUUUUGGAAUUAACAAUAAAUUACAGCAACAACAACUAAACGUUUAUGGGACAAAAGUUUUCAAAUAAACCAUAUUAUAUACCAACUGGACGAUAGAAAUAUUGAAAGAAAAAAUGUAAGACAAACACAUGGUCAGCGGUCAGCAGUCAGCGGUCAGCUCGCGCCUCAAUAAACCGCCGAGUAGUGAAUAAAAGUGGGGUCACGCUUGUAAAACGCCCUUGGCAACAGAGUGCAGCAAAUCGUUAUGAAACCGGAAAUAUUAUAAUAAAAACGUAUGCUUGUUUACAAAACAACAACAACAACAAC
rnacentral:lncRNA from 1 species